rnacentral:rRNA from 1 species
GAUGAACGCUGGCGGCGUGCCUAAUACGUGCAAGUCGAGCGAACGGACGAGAAGCUUGCUUCUCUGAUGUUAGCGGCGGACGGGUGAGUAACACGUGGAUAACCUACCUAUAAGACUGGGAUAACUUCGGGAAACCGGAGCUAAUACCGGAUAAUAUUUUGAACCGCAUGGUUCAAAAGUGAAAGACGGUCUUGCUGUCACUUAUAGAUGGAUCCGCGCUGCAUUAGCUAGUUGGUAAGGUAACGGCUUACCAAGGCAACGAUGCAUAGCCGACCUGAGAGGGUGAUCGGCCACACUGGAACUGAGACACGGUCCAGACUCCUACGGGAGGCAGCAGUAGGGAAUCUUCCGCAAUGGGCGAAAGCCUGACGGAGCAACGCCGCGUGAGUGAUGAAGGUCUUCGGAUCGUAAAACUCUGUUAUUAGGGAAGAACAUAUGUGUAAGUAACUGUGCACAUCUUGACGGUACCUAAUCAGAAAGCCACGGCUAACUACGUGCCGGCAGCCGCGGUAAUACGUAGGUGGCAAGCGUUAUCCGGAAUUAUUGGGCGUAAAGCGCGCGUAGGCGGUUUUUUAAGUCUGAUGUGAAAGCCCACGGCUCAACCGUGGAGGGUCAUUGGAAACUGGAAAACUUGAGUGCAGAAGAGGAAAGUGGAAUUCCAUGUGUAGCGGUGAAAUGCGCAGAGAUAUGGAGGAACACCAGUGGCGAAGGCGACUUUCUGGUCUGUAACUGACGCUGAUGUGCGAAAGCGUGGGGAUCAAACAGGAUUAGAUACCCUGGUAGUCCACGCCGUAAACGAUGAGUGCUAAGUGUUAGGGGGUUUCCGCCCCUUAGUGCUGCAGCUAACGCAUUAAGCACUCCGCCUGGGGAGUACGACCGCAAGGUUGAAACUCAAAGGAAUUGACGGGGACCCGCACAAGCGGUGGAGCAUGUGGUUUAAUUCGAAGCAACGCGAAGAACCUUACCAAAUCUUGACAUCCUUUGACAACUCUAGAGAUAGAGCCUUCCCCUUCGGGGGACAAAGUGACAGGUGGUGCAUGGUUGUCGUCAGCUCGUGUCGUGAGAUGUUGGGUUAAGUCCCGCAACGAGCGCAACCCUUAAGCUUAGUUGCCAUCAUUAAGUUGGGCACUCUAAGUUGACUGCCGGUGACAAACCGGAGGAAGGUGGGGAUGACGUCAAAUCAUCAUGCCCCUUAUGAUUUGGGCUACACACGUGCUACAAUGGACAAUACAAAGGGCAGCGAAACCGCGAGGUCAAGCAAAUCCCAUAAAGUUGUUCUCAGUUCGGAUUGUAGUCUGCAACUCGACUACAUGAAGCUGGAAUCGCUAGUAAUCGUAGAUCAGCAUGCUACGGUGAAUACGUUCCCGGGUCU